AGUGUCCGACCAGGCUGCGGAAUUCAGUGCGGACCACGAAAGCAUUCUCAUUCCUCGAUUAUAUAGUUGUAUUUGCUAAGUUAUAAAAGAUGCAGGCACGAGUCCUCUUCCUUACCGUCCUUCUGAUCUUUGCAAUCUCCGCUAACGCAGCCAGUAUCCGAAAGUUGCUGAGCCAUCCGAAUUUUUGUGACGUCAUCCCAAACCCUCUCAAAAACGGAAAGGUCAAAGUGUGCUGCGUUCCUCGGGUCGAUUACUGUGUCUGUUUCAUAAAUUCAAGGGAGUCGGACAAAUACUGCAGAACGACGUAAAAGAUGCGGGCGAUAACACUCUGUGACAUUUCUGCCUGUACAUUCCAUUGGACUGGGUGGUGAGGGGGUAGUGGCGGGGUAGACUCUUUCACCAGUCUCUUUCAUUCAAUCAUUACAGCGGAGCCGAGAGUCGUGGUUACAUGGGCUUGUGGGGCUUUUGCAUAAUGGGAGUGUAGACUCCAGCAUUUAGUUGAGACCUAAACACAGUCCUCUAAUACGUGGAGGGACGAGCCACGUGUUUAUGUUAAACCAAUGCCUUUGUUUCCUAAUAAUGGAGUUUUUUUCAUUACAAGAAGGGCGGACUGAACUUUGGGUGGAAGAGAAUAACACUACAGGGCCCACGUCGACACAAUUUGCAUCCACUUGUACUGAGCAGUUUAAUAAUUUUUCAAAACAUAGUUUGAAGAUGUAACGGUCCUGCUGGAUUCAUGUCGUGCACGGGUAAAAACAUUCUCACGUCACACUUUUUGUCCUUGCUUUCAAGCGAAAUGAUUAGGUCUACAUUUGACAUAACUUUUGUAAAUAAUAACGCGUAAUAAAUUAUUUGUUUCAUUGA